CGCCGGGCUGAGCGCUGUGGGGCGAAGGUGCGACCCGGCCCGAUCCUGAUCCCGAUCCUUAUCCCGAUCCCCAUCCCGAACCGGGGGGGCGGCCCGGCUGCCCCGGCCAUGCUGUCGUGGGGAGCGGCGGGCGGCCGGGUGCUGCGCUGGCCGAACGGGCGGGUACCGACCCGCGGGUUCCGCGCCUCUCCGCGGGCGCGGAUCGCCAUGCCCAGCUGGGUGAUAGACCGGUACGGCAGCAACGACGUGCUGCGCUUCACCAGGGAGAUGAUGUUCCCCAUCAUACACUUCCCGAACGAGGUCAUCAUUAAGGUUCACGCUGCCAGCCUGAACCCCAUCGACCUCAGCAUGAGAAGUGGUUAUGGUGCAACUGCAUUAAACAUGAAGCGGGAUCCCCUGAAACUCAAAGUGGGCGAGACUGAAUUUCCUCUGACUCUUGGUCGAGAUGUCUCUGGUGUGGUUAUGGAGUGUGGACUGGGUGUGUCUUAUUUCAAACCUGGAGAUGAGGUGUGGGCAGCAAUUCCUCCAUGGAAACAAGGCACUCUGUCAGAGUUUGUAGUAGCUAGUGGAAACGAGGUAUCUUUUAAGCCAAAGUGUCUCAGUCACACAGAAGCUGCUGCCUUACCAUAUGUUGGUCUCACUGCAUGGUCUGCACUGAACCAAGUGGGAGGACUGAACCAAAGUAAUUGUAGUGGGAAAAGAAUAUUAAUAUUAGGAGCUUCAGGAGGAGUUGGUACAUUUGCUGUUCAGCUAAUGAAGGCCUGGGAUGCUCAUGUGACAGCAGUUUGCUCUCAUGAUGCCAGCACACUGGUGAAAAAGCUUGGAGCAGAUGAUGUGAUUGAUUAUAAAUCUGGAAAUCUGGAGGAGCAGCUUAAAACAUUACCCUUAUUUGAUUUUAUCCUAGAUAAUGUUGGUGGAUCCACUGAGAAGUGGGCACUAGAUCUCUUGAAGAAAUGGUCAGGAGCAACAUAUGUUACUUUAGUGACACCUUUCCUGAUCAAUAUGGACAGACUUGGAGUGGCUGAUGGCAUGUUGCAAACAGGAGUCACUGUUGGUUCCAAAACUCUAAAGCAUCUCCUUAAAGGAGUCCAUUAUCGGUGGGCGUUUUUCAUGCCGAGCGGCCCAAGUUUGGAUGAAAUAGCAGAGCUGGUUGAUUCUGGAAAGACACAAGAGUUCUCAUAAAAGGACAGACCAUCCAUUCAGAAGAGAGUAGGUGUUUGGGAAAAAAGGCAGGAGAGAAUCACUGGAGAAAUUGUACCACAAUUUCCUAUAAAUUCAGCCAGUUAUUGAUGAAGUCUUCUCAUUUUCUGAAGUUCCAGAGGCCUUUCUGAAGUUGGAAGGAGGACAUGCACGUGGAAAAACAGUGAUCAAUGUAAUUAGUAGACAAUAAAGUAUCUCUAAUCAUUA